rnacentral:rRNA from 1 species
AACGAACGCUGGCGGCAGGCUUAACACACGCAAGUCGAACGGGUGUAGCAAUACAUCAGUGGCAGACGGGUGAGUAACACGUGGGAACCUUCCUAGGGGUACGGAACAACUCAGGGAAACUUGAGCUAAUACCGUAUACGUCCGUGAGGAGAAAGAUUUAUCGCCCUUAGACGGGCCCGCGUCGGAUUAGCUAGUUGGUGGGGUAACGGCCUACCAAGGCGACGAUCCGUAGCUGAUCUUAGAGGAUGAUCAGCCACACUGGGACUGAGACACGGCCCAGACUCCUACGGGAGGCAGCAGUGGGGAAUCUUGGACAAUGGGCGCAAGCCUGAUCCAGCCAUGCCGCGUGAGUGAAGAAGGUCUUCGGAUUGUAAAGCUCUUUUACCAGGGACGAUAAUGACGGUACCUGGAGAAUAAGCCCCGGCAAACUUCGUGCCAGCAGCCGCCGUAACAC